rnacentral:rRNA from 1 species
UACGAAGGGGGCUAGCGUUGCUCGGAAUCACUGGGCGUAAAGCGCACGUAGGCGGAUUGUUAAGUCAGGGGUGAAAUCCUGGAGCUCAACUCCAGAACUGCCUUUGAUACUGGCGAUCUCGAGUCCGGGAGAGGUGAGUGGAACUGCGAGUGUAGAGGUGAAAUUCGUAGAUAUUCGCAAGAACACCAGUGGCGAAGGCGGUUCUCUGGGACGGUACUGACGCUGAGACGCGAAAGCGUGGGGAGCGAACGAGGAAUUGAUGA